GGGUUUUGUGUGUUUGUGAGGAUGCUGUUAGUGUGCUGGGUGUGUGUGGGUGCUGUGUGUGCGAGGGUGAUGUAUGUGUGUAGGUGCUGUGUGUGUGUGUGGGUGCUGUUUGUGGGCUGUGUGUGCUGUAUGUUUGGGUGGAGGUGGGGGCAGACUAGUUAAUAUCCCAGUCCUGCUGCCUUCACUGGUGGUUCAGUGGAG